GGAAUAUUGCACAAUGGGCGAAAGCCUGAUGCAGCGACGCCGCGUGAGUGAUCGAAGUAUUUCGGUAUGUAAAGCUCUAUCAGCAGGGAAGAACAAUGACGGUACCUGACUAAGAAGCUCCGGCUAAAUACGUGCCAGCAGCCGCGGUAAUACGUAUGGAGCAAGCGUUAUCCGGAUUUACUGGGUGUAAAGGGAGCGUAGGCGGCGGCCUAAGUCUGAUGUGAAAACCCGGGGCUCAACUCCGGGAUUGCAUUGGAAACUGGGCAGCUGGAGUGUCGGAGAAGCAGGCGGAAUUCCCAGUGUAGCGGUGAAAUGCAUAGAUAUUGGGAGGAACACCAGUGGCGAAGGCGGCCUGCUGGACGAUAACUGACGCUGAGGCUCGAAAGCGUGGGGAGCAAACA
rnacentral:rRNA from 1 species